AAUAUUGGACAAUGGGGGCAACCCUGAUCCAGCCAUGCGGCGUGUGUGAAGAAGGGCUUCGGAGCGUAAAGCACUUUAAGUUGGGAGGAAGGGCUUUAGGUUAAUACCCUGAAGUUGUGACGUUACUAACAGAAUCAGAACCGGAUAACUCUGUGCCAGCAGCCGCGGUAAUACAGAGGGUGAAAGCGUUAAUCGGAAUUACUGGGCGUAAAGCGAGCGUAGGUGGUUCAGUAAGAUGGGUGUGAAAUCCCCGGGCUUAACCUGGGAACUGCUUUCAUAACUGCUGAGCUAGAGUACGGUAGAGGGUAGUGGAAUUUCCUGUGUAGCGGUGAAAUGCGUAGAUAUAGGAAGGAACACCAGUGGCGAAGGCGACUACCUGGACUGAUACUGACACUGAGGUGCGAAAGCGUGGGGAGCAAAC
rnacentral:rRNA from 1 species